rnacentral:rRNA from 2 species
GUUGUAUGGUUAAGUGACUAAGCGUACACGGUGGAUGCCUGGGCAGUCAGAGGCGAUGAAGGACGUACUAACUUGCGAUAAGCGCAGAUAAGGCAGUAAGAGCCGUUUGAGUCUGCGAUUUCCGAAUGGGGAAACCCAACUGCAUAAGCAGUUACUGUUAACUGAAUACAUAGGUUAACAGAGCAAACCGGGGGAACUGAAACAUCUAAGUACCCCGAGGAGAAGAAAUCAACCGAGAUUCCGGUAGUAGCGGCGAGCGAACCUGGAUUAGCCCUUAAGCACUCGGUGAAGUAGGUGAACAAGCUGGAAAGCUUGGCGAUACAGGGUGAUAGCCCCGUAACCGACGCUUCAUCGAGCGUGAAAUCGAGUAGGGCGGGACACGUGAUAUCCUGUCUGAAUAUGGGGGGACCAUCCUCCAAGGCUAAAUACUCCUGACUGACCGAUAGUGAACCAGUACCGUGAGGGAAAGGCGAAAAGAACCCCUGUGAGGGGAGUGAAAUAGAACCUGAAACCGUGUACGUACAAGCAGUAGGAGCACCUUCGUGGUGUGACUGCGUACCUUUUGUAUAAUGGGUCAGCGACUUAUAUUCAGUGGCAAGGUUAACCGUAUAGGGGAGCCGUAGCGAAAGCGAGUCUUAACUGGGCGCUCAGUCUCUGGAUAUAGACCCGAAACCGGGUGAUCUAGCCAUGGGCAGGUUGAAGGUUGAGUAACAUCAACUGGAGGACCGAACCGACUAAUGUUGAAAAAUUAGCGGAUGACUUGUGGCUAGGGGUGAAAGGCCAAUCAAACUCGGAGAUAGCUGGUUCUCCCCGAAAGCUAUUUAGGUAGCGCCUCGGACGAAUACUACUGGGGGUAGAGCACUGUUAAGGCUAGGGGGUCAUCCCGACUUACCAACCCUUUGCAAACUCCGAAUACCAGUAAGUACUAUCCGGGAGACACACGGCGGGUGCUAACGUCCGUCGUGGAGAGGGAAACAACCCAGACCGCCAGCUAAGGUCCCAAAGUAUUGCUAAGUGGGAAACGAUGUGGGAAGGCUCAGACAGCUAGGAUGUUGGCUUAGAAGCAGCCAUCAUUUAAAGAAAGCGUAAUAGCUCACUAGUCGAGUCGGCCUGCGCGGAAGAUGUAACGGGGCUAAGCAAUACACCGAAGCUGCGGCAAUGUCUUUUAGA